AAUAAAGAGUUUUUGAAAAAGUCUUGCAUUCUAACGCCUUUGUUAUUUCUUAUUCAGUUAGUUUAAGGUGGUUGGUUUGUGAAAUUUUAGUUGGUCCUCUAUAUUACAAAAAAUCCAGGGAAGAGAGUCAUGUCCAGCAAGAAUAUAGAGAGUGACAUCAUGGAUCAGACAAAAAGUCAGGAAAAUAAAAGUUUAAUGUAAGAGAUUGUGAGUUUGAGGCAACAAAUGAUGGAAAUGUAUCGAGCUUGGGCCAGUGGGCUGCCUCCUUCUCUAUUUUCCACUAUUGACCCUACAAAUACCUUGAGUUUUUCACCAAAAUUGCAAGGCCAAUUUUCUGCUGUUGGUUAUGCGCCAUAACAUGCCUCAGAAUUUAGUCCAAGCCAAAAGCAUCCUAAUGCUUCCGUCACUCAUUCUCUAGCUCUUCAGUGUAAAUCUACCAUAUUGAUAUCACAACCUAUCGUCUCUGCUUCUGUUGCUCAACCCUCUACUGAAGCUUCCACUUUGGAUUUUCGUCUGGCGAUUAUGCUUCCCCAAUCUGCUAGUGAGUCAAUGUUUAAUACUCUUGAUGAUCACUAUUAUACUCUUGAGCCCACAUCUAUGUUAAUUGGACCACUAAAUUUUUUUACCAAGAAGUCUGACAUGAAAGAAGAGCAAGAAAAACUGGCUAGGAAAAUGAAGAGCACAGAAAAGGCUACGAAAAAUUCUCUGGGACUUACGAAUUAUGAAGAUUUUGCAUAUAAGGACUGGGGCAUGUCUUCAAAUGUUAAAUUCCCUCCUAACUUUGAGGUAUCAAAAUUUGAGGAAUAUGAUGGGUACGAGGAUUUUGUAAAACACUUGGAACGAUAUUCCCAUCAGUUGAGGGGGAUUGAAGGAAAGAAGAAGGAAAAUGUAUCUAUUGUCAUUCCAGGGCAAAGCAAAGCUCGAGAGGUCCAAAUCAGCAAUAUUGUCAGUCUUAAUCCCGAUCUUACACUUCAAAUCCAUAUGCUCACCUGCAACAAGGUUCCUCUUUGCAAAAUUCAGAUAUUCCAUUCUACUUCCUCAGUAUUCUUUGAACAAUGCACAACAGUAUACUCAUCUGUCUUCUUAUCCACAAUGACGUGCACCGGUCCCUCAACAUCAUCCUCGGCCCCCACAUAUUUACCAAGGAACUUCUAAGUCCAAGGUUCAACCGAUAUCAGAGUUUGCAAAGAGGAGGAAGUCAAAGGAUAAGUUUACACCAAUUGGAAAAUCGUAUGCUAGUUUAUUCCAGAGAUUGAGAGAGUUGGACAUGAUUACUCCUCUCUUUAAGUGUACUCUUGACCUCAUUCAAGAAAUUUUGAUCCUCAUGUACGAUGUGUAUAUCAUUCUGAUGUUUAGGGUCACAGUAUUGAAGGUUGUAGUGCUUUGAAAAGAGAAAUAAAAAGGAUGAUUAAAGAAAAAUUGAUCGUAGUGCAAAACAUUGACACUACAAAGGUCACAUAGAAUCUUUCAUCAACGCAUGGUAAUGAAAAAUAUGUGGAAAGUAAUGAGUUAAGCAUGGAGAUCCAAAAUUUAUUUGUUGAAGAGAAUGUGUCUGACAGUGGUGGAAGCUCUAGUCAUGCUGAUAUGCAAACCAGUGGCUAAGAUGUCAGCAAUUGAGAAGUCACUCCUCUCCCUACUAGGAAGAGGUCUGAUAUUUUGUUUGUUUUCUUUUCUAUUAUCUGAAUUAUUUCACGAUUGUAGUUCGGGAUCUAUCUUGUUUUGUCCCUUUGUCGUUUAUAUUCAAACCCUUCUAUCUUUCAUUUUAACUAAAUGGAGUGUCCCUUUUCCCUUUGUGUUUUAAAUAUGUGUUGUUGUUUUUUUACAUAGUGCAUUUUAGGUUAGUUUAAGUGAUAUUACAUGCUUGCAGAAUUUUUAGGUAGAUCUUAAAAUCCAGCUUAAGCAUGAACUUUGAAUCAGAGGGCUAAAGUUAGAAAAAGGCAUCUGAGAAAAUAGGAAGAGUGUUGAGACAUUGGGUGACCAAGUUGAAGCCUUCUUUGAAAAUUAAGGCAAUUAUUUUGAGAAUUACAAGAAUAACUUGAUCAUCAAUUGAAAGACAUGUCUCAAUUAGGUUAAACAAUGAAUGCGUGAUCCUAUAUCAAAAGGAAUAGAAAGAAAAUCAACUCCACAAAAGCAUGAGUCAUUCGAUGUAAAAGAUGUACAAUAAAGGUGGAGUUGUAUAACUGGACAAGCGUAGAAGAAGUAGUGACACACAGACUCAGUUAAAGUUAGUGCUGUAAAAAAAUGUCACAAAUGAUCUUCAUCUUUCACUGUCAUAUUGCAUGAUAUGUACUUGCAUUUUCAAGGAUUGAUAUGGCGAAGACAUUUCAUUUUGCUAUCCAAACAUUGUGUCAUCCUUUGUUUACCCCGUUUGAACUUUAAUUCUAUUUUCUUUCAUACCCCUCUUUUGGAAUCAAUAUAGAGUCAACAAAGUUCAAGAAAAAGUGGUGAGUAAAAGAAUGGAGUCAGAAAAAAAAGAGAAGACAAAUGUGUCAAAAAUAAAGAAAAGUGAUGAGUAUCAAGAAAAAUAGGGUCAGACAAAGUUUUAAAGAGAAAAAAAGCCAAUAAAAGAGAAUAAAUAAAUAAAUUAGAGUCAAGCAAAAGAAUAAAUUAUCGGAACUACGUGUGACCUGAUUAUCCUCUCUCGAAGGUGAGAUACGUAGGCAGCCCUACUUUGGGCUCAGCCCAACUAAACGAACAAUUUAGAAUUACCCAGUUAAAGAAAGUGGGGCAUGGAUUAAUUUUCAUUGUUUGAGUCAAUUCCAAAAGUUGUAAGUCUCUCCCCACUUCAAGUGUCGUUUGGGCCUCAUGCCAUUUUUUUUCUAACCUUAUCCAAAAGUCAAGUUACAACCAAAGAAAGACCUUCAGAUCAAUCGUUGAGAAUGAUAAGGCUAAGCAUGCAAUGCAUAUAAUGAUGCAUUUUGGAAACUACUUGUUUUCCUCAGCAUAAGUAAUCAGAAGAGAAAUAAAAAUGAGAGUCUUAUCGGUGAAAACCCUUACGGGAACCGUAAGACGAUUCUGAGUUGAGAGAAUGAAAAUAUGAGAGUCUCAUUGGUGAAAACCCUCACAGACACUAUAGGACAAUGGAGAGUUGAGAGAAAGAAAAUAAAAUAAACUUAUUGACGAAAACUCUUUAAGGAGUCACUAACUGAAUGAGGUCUCCAAGUGCGAUUGACCCAAGAAAGUAACUCAAUUUCAGGACCAUUAACUCAACAACAAUUGACAAAAUUUUGGAUGGAAAGAUCAGACAACUUAAUCCAAAAUGUAUGUCAUAAUCAUUAGAGUUGACUAUCACUUUCAGAUAAAUUUUCCUUUUCUUUGUUUCAAUGGACAUUCAUUGUCUGUUCUUUCUUCUUUAUAUUUUUAUUUUUGUUUUUUCGAGUUAGUUAUUCAAAUAGAAAGUCAUUUUUCUUGUGUCUUUGAGUCAAACAAAUGUCAAAGCAAGUGAUAAAAGAUUUCAAAACUGGCUACCAACUUCUUUAAUUGCACAAAGUAAGACAAAGGGCCAGCACAUGAAAGAGACAUGAUUGUGAGCCAAAAUAAGGCAUGCAGAAAGUUUUGUCAACAGAUAAGUCUUGAAACUCAUGGAAAUACAAAGUUUUAAAGGAUUUAUCUGAGGAACAUAGCAAAAAAGAGAUAUUGUGUUUGUUUCAGAGUCACUCUUAAUAAUCUGAGUUUUGAUCAAUGGUGCAGCAACUCAAUACAUAUGCUAAUGAUUGGAAGCAAGAUUAGAAGUGACAAAUGCAAGAGAAUUCACCUCAAAAGCUAAACCACAAGCUAACCACCAUGUUUUUAAACUCACAAGUUUUCUUUGUAUGAAACAGGAACACAUGUUACCUUCAAAUAAGGAUUUCAAAGC
rnacentral:lncRNA from 1 species